GAGUGUCUUCUGGACAUCUGAGCUGCUAAGUCUCACUUUACUCCGCACCUAUAAGCUACAUUCUGGGUAAAGUCUCACUGUCUUCUGGGUUGGGCGGGGGGCACAGCAUCAGCCUGCUGGCUCAGCUUCUCCAGAACCUGAAUCCAGGUUCUCCCGGGGGAAGCCUUGGAAUCCCAUCCAGACACGUGGCAGCACAGCAAAACAACAGUCCAGGCAUUGAUUCACAAGCUGCGUGGUCUCGUAUGGAGAACACACAGUCCCACACUGGCACCUGCCUGUCAGUCUAGGUGGCUCUGGAGAGGCUUUGGCACGGCUGCCCCACGCAAAGGACAAGUUCCCAGGGUCUGCCACCCCAGGAGCCGCGUCUGCAAAGGAACCCGCCAGGGCACUCCAGCCCAGCGAAAUCCAGCUUUGUGGUCUGGAAACCUCCAGAACAGGCUCUCGAAACAUAUGGUGUUAUUUUCACGGCACUUGACAUUCUUCUAGGAUAGUUCAAAUGGUACAUUCAUGUUCCCAAAAUUAUGUCACUGCUUUCUGCAUUUAAUGGCUAUAGUUAAUCAUCGCUCACAGCUCUCCCCUGUUCCUCUUUCCCUGCGAGAGCACCACGAGACGCCUCCAGCUGUGCAUACUUCACCCAGAGCUGCCUUGCAUGCUUUCUUUGCUCCCACUCUCGUGUCGUCCCACAGGGCUUGGGACUCAUGAAAAAACAUGCAGUGGGGGGGGGCACGCAAGCCCUGCUCCUGCCAGGCAAUGCAUUUCCCCAUGCUGAUCUCCAAAGCAUGUCGGAGCCGUGCAUCUAUCAGCAUGCCUCGCCUCAUGCUGGGCUAAGGGCCACCAGCGGUCAAGAAGAAGAUUCAGCGUGUUGGUUUUGUUCCAUAAAUACUUAUUAACAGAAGCACCCAGCAGAAUGAGGGAAGAACAUUAAUAUCCAGGAACAAGUCCAUGUUGCAAUGAAACAGCAGCAACAGAAACAAAGGCUAUACACUGUUUUGUCCUUAAACCAAGCAAUCA